GAUGAACGCUAGCGGCAGGCUUAAUACAUGCAAGUCGAGGGGCAACAGGGGUAGCAAUACCUGCUGGCGACCGGCAAACGGGUGCGGAACACGUACAGAACCUUCCUUUAAGCGGGGGAUAGCCCAUAGAAAUGUGGAUUAAUACCCCAUAGUAAUAUUAGUUGGCAUCAAUUGAUAUUUAAAGAUUUAUCACUUAAAGAUGGCUGUGCGGCUGAUUAGGUAGUUGGUGCGGGACGGCCCACCAAGCCAGCGAUCAGUAACUGGUGUGAGAGCACGACCAGUCACACGGGCACUGAGACACGGG
rnacentral:rRNA from 1 species